rnacentral:lncRNA from 1 species
GAGCGGCAUCGAGACCUCUCCCCCAGCUCGGCGGGACGCUCAGCUCCCGGGCUGCCCCGGGGGCUGGAGAACCGGGAUGCGGCCGGCUGCGGCGGCGGAGCCCCAGCCCGGGAACGCGGGUCCGGGGCCUGGCAGUCGGCUCCAUCACGCGCCCCGCGCUCGACCGUCCGCCGCUGCCCACACCCUAGCGGGAGACCGCACAGGCCUCCUGCGCAGGCUUCCUGCCCCGCUCAAACACGCCCUGCGAAAACUCCAAUUUUCUUUCCCCACUUACGUCAAGCACAGAGAAACAAGCGGGUUUGAUCUGAAUAAUAAUAAUAAUAACAACCACCGCCACCUUCCGUCAGUGCAUUUAAGAUGAAGCGGUUCUGCUCCUCUUCUUAGAAGUACAAAUGUCCUUAUCACUCUCAGCCGCCUCUGCCUGUCCUGAGGUGAGAAUCUUCACAGAAACUUCUCCAAAAGUUCUUCCAGCCCCUCCAUUGCCAGCCACGGCUGGAGCUCCAGCUAAGCACCGGGUCCUCCUUCUGUCACCCUCUGCUCCACAACCCUUCCCCCCUGCAAGAUGUUCUGCCUUUUAAAAAUCAACACUCACCGCUUGUUGUCUGUUCUCAAAAAGGGGUGGGGGGAGGGAGUGUUUAAAAAAAAAAAAGUCUGGCCUUCCUCCUCCCUCAGAGAUUUGGGAGGGAAUAUUAGGAGGACAGAAGCAGCAGAGAGACUGGGAGACUCAGAAAGAGGGAGCUAGAGCGAGAGGGCGGGAGCCCCAGCCACCAGUCCCGGAGGAGUGAAACUACUGAAAAAAAGUCCUGGUGUUCCAACUGCGAAUGAGCGCGCAGGGGCACCCAGCACCCCCACCCCCGGCAGGCCAGGCCUCCGCUGGGCCUCCCCAGGCUACUUCUCAAAUUAGCAUAAUGGUUUCCUAGCGGUGGUGGUCGUGUGGGGGGGGGGUGCUGUGAACUCCGCUGGCUCUCCGUGCCUUCCGGGCUCUCUUCCUCCCCCAGCGCAAUGUGAAAACAUACCUGUUCUUUUCUAGAUCUAUAAAAUAAUCUGUAAAAUCCCUCUACCUUCUUUCCUUCUCACCCCCCCUUUUUUGUGGUGGGGGGCAUUUGCCCCCCCUCCGCCAUCACCACCCUCACCUUCUCUCCUUAUCAGGCAUCUGAGCUAAAGGGGGAGAGGUGGGGGUGUGUGUGAGCUUGUGUGUGAGGGAGCGAGCGUGUGUGUCUGUGUGGUUUUUUUUCCCUGUGCAAAAGCAGAGGCCAUUGUUACGGAGAGUAGGGCGUACCAGUCUUAUAGGGCAACCACCCCGUGGCGGGCUUGGCCGCCCCGGAGCCCGCAGCCCGGACCCGGCCCCCCGGCGAGCCCGG